rnacentral:rRNA from 1 species
GGUUAAGCGACUAAGCGUACACGGUGGAUGCCCUGGCAGUCAGAGGCGAUGAAGGGCGUGCUAAUCUGCGAUAAGCGCCGGUAAGGUGAUAUGAACCGUUAUAACCGGCGAUACCCGAAUGGGGAAACCCAGUGUGAUUCGUCACACUAUCAUUAACUGAAUCCAUAGGUUAAUGAGGCGAACCGGGGGAACUGAAACAUCUAAGUACCCCGAGGAAAAGAAAUCAACCGAGAUUCCCCCAGUAGCGGCGAGCGAACGGGGAGGAGCCCAGAGCCUGAAUCAGCAUGUGUGUUAGUGGAAGCGUCUGGAAAGGCGCGCGAUACAGGGUGACAGCCCCGUACACAAAAGCGCAUGUGCUGUGAGCUCGAUGAGUAGGGCGGGACACGUGGUAUCCUGUCUGAAUAUGGGGGGACCAUCCUCCAAGGCUAAAUACUCCUGACUGACCGAUAGUGAACCAGUACCGUGAGGGAAAGGCGAAAAGAACCCCGGCGAGGGGAGUGAAAAAGAACCUGAAACCGUGUACGUACAAGCAGUGGGAGCACAGGUUUACCUGUGUGACUGCGUACCUUUUGUAUAAUGGGUCAGCGACUUAUAUUCUGUAGCAAGGUUAACCGUAUAGGGGAGCCGGAGGGAAACCGAGUCUUAAC